rnacentral:rRNA from 1 species
GACAGAGGGUGCUAGCGUUGUUCGGAAUUACUGGGCGUAAAGGGCGCGUAGGCGGCCAACUAAGUCAGACGUGAAAUCCCUCGGCUCAACCGGGGAACUGCGUCUGAUACUGGAUGGCUUGAAUUCGGGAGAGGGAUGCGGAAUUCCAGGUGUAGCGGUGAAAUGCGUAGAUAUCAGGAGGAACACCGGUGGCGAAGGCGGGUCUCUGGGCCGAUACUGACGCUGAGGAGCGAAAGCGUGGGGAGCGAACAGG